CGAUUGAGUUUGAUCAUGGCUCAGGAUGAACGCUGGCGGCGUGCCUAAUACAUGCAAGUCGAGCGCGAAGAUCAGGAGCUUGCUCCUGAGAUUCGAGCGGCGGACGGGUGAGUAACACGUAGGCAACCUACCCUUGAGAUUGGGAUAACUACCGGAAACGGUAGCUAAUACCGGAUACGACAUUCCUGCAUAAGUAAGAAUGUUAAAAGGCGGAUUUAUCUGCCGCUCAUGGAUGGGCCUGCGGUGCAUUAGCUAGUUGGUGAGAUAGUAGCUCACCAAGGCGACGAUGCAUAGCCGACCUGAGAGGGUGAUCGGCCACACUGGGACUGAGACACGGCCCAGACUCCUACGGGAGGCAGCAGUAGGGAAUCUUCCGCAAUGGACGCAAGUCUGACGGAGCAACGCCGCGUGAGUGAUGAAGGGUUUCGGCUCGUAAAACUCUGUUGUUAAGGAAGAACACUUGAGGUAGUAACUGGCCUUGAGAUGACGGUACUUAACCAGAAAGCCACGGCUAACUACGUGCCAGCAGCCGCGGUAAUACGUAGGUGGCAAGCGUUAUCCGGAAUUAUUGGGCGUAAAGCGCGCGUAGGCGGUAAAAUAAGUCUGAUGUGAAAGCCCCCGGCUCAACCGGGGAGGGUCAUUGGAAACUGUUUUACUUGAGUACAGAAGAGGAGAGUGGAAUUCCAUGUGUAGCGGUGAAAUGCGCAGAGAUAUGGAGGAACACCAGUGGCGAAGGCGGCUCUCUGGUCUGUAACUGACGCUGAGGUGCGAAAGCGUGGGGAUCAAACAGGAUUAGAUACCCUGGUAGUCCACGCCGUAAACGAUGAGUGCUAAGUGUU
rnacentral:rRNA from 1 species